rnacentral:rRNA from 1 species
UACGGAGGGUGCAAGCGUUAAUCGGAAUUACUGGGCGUAAAGCGUGCGCAGGCGGUUUGUUAAGUCCGUUGUGAAAGCCCCGAGCUCAACUUGGGAAUUGCAGUGGAUACUGGCAGGCUGGAGUACGGUAGAGGAAGGUGGAAUUCCCGGUGUAGCAGUGAAAUGCGUAGAUAUCGGGAGGAACACCAGUGGCGAAGGCGGCGACCUGGGCAGAUACUGACGCUGAGGUGCGAAAGCGUGGGGAGCAAACAGG